rnacentral:rRNA from 1 species
GAUGAACGCUGGCGGCGUGCCUAAUACAUGCAAGUCGAGCGAAUGGAUUAAGAGCUUGCUCUUAUGAAGUUAGCGGCGGACGGGUGAGUAACACGUGGGUAACCUGCCCAUAAGACUGGGAUAACUCCGGGAAACCGGGGUUAAUACCGGAUAACAUUUUGAACCGCAUGGUUCGAAAUUGAAAGGCGGCUUCGGCUGUCACUUAUGGAUGGACCCGCGUCGCAUUAGCUAGUUGGUGAGGUAACGGCUCACCAAGGCAACGGUGCGUAGCCGACCUGAGGAGGUGAUCGGCCACGCUGGGACUGAGAACCGGCCCAGACUCCUACGGGAGGCAGCAGUAGGGAAUCUUCCGCAAUGGACGAAAGUCUGACGGAGCAACGCCGCGUGAGUGAUGAAGGCUUUCGGGUCGUAAAACUCUGUUGUUAGGGAAGAACAAGUGCUAGUUGAAUAAGCUGGCACCUUGACGGUACCUAACCAGAAAGCCACGGCUAACUACGUGCCAGCAGCCGCCGUAA